AUUGAACGCUGGCGGCAGGCCUAACACAUGCAAGUCGGACGGUAGCACAGAGGAGCUUGCUCCCCGGGUGACGAGUGGCGGACGGGUGAGUAAUGUCUGGGGAUCUGCCCGAUAGAGGGGGAUAACCACUGGAAACGGUGGCUAAUACCGCAUAACGUCGCAAGACCAAAGUGGGGGACCUUCGGGCCUCACACCAUCGGAUGUGCCCAGAUGGGAUUAGCUAGUAGGUGGGGUAAUGGCUCACCUAGGCGACGAUCCCUAGCUGGUCUGAGAGGAUGACCAGCCACACUGGAACUGAGACACGGUCCAGACUCCUACGGGAGGCAGCAGUGGGGAAUAUUGCACAAUGGGCGCAAGCCUGAUGCAGCCAUGCCGCGUGUAUGAAGAAGGCCUUCGGGUUGUAAAGUACUUUCAGCGGGGAGGAAGGCGGUGAAGUUAAUAGCUUCACCGAUUGACGUUACCCGCAGAAGAAGCACCGGCUAACUCCGUGCCAGCCGCCGCCGUAA
rnacentral:rRNA from 1 species